CCUACGGGGGGCAGGGAUCGAGCUCGGUGCUAAUGGCGCCGUAAAGGUUGAUGACUACCUGCGGCCCAAUAUACCCGAUGUCUAUGCUGCGGGUGAUUGUGCCGAGGCUAAACACCUCGUGACCGGCAAGAAGGUCUAUAUCCCUCUGGGGACAACAGCGAACAAACAGGGGAGGAUGGCAGGCGAGAAUGCAGCGGGCAUGAACAAUGUUUUUGAAGGUAUUGUGGGGACGGCGAUCACGAAGGUCUUCGACCUCGAGGUUGCCCGUACGGGGCUUUCCCCUCUGGAGGCGGAGCGGGAAGGAUACAAAUUCUUUGUCUCGACUAGUAAGGGCUGGUCACGAAGCAGCGCCUAUCCUUCCGGCAAGCGCAUCCUUGUGUCAUUUUUCGUGGACAGCGAGACCGGCAGGCUUCUCGGCGCGCAGAUGGCAGGGGAAGAGGGCGUGGCACACAGGAUCGAUACCCCGGUAGUC
rnacentral:rRNA from 1 species